GGCGGCGUGCUUAACACAUGCAAGUCGAACGAACCUUCGGGUUAGUGGCGGACGGGUGAGUAACGCGUGAGAAUCUGCCCUCAGGAGGGGGAUAACAGUUGGAAACGACUGCUAAUACCCCAUAUGCCGAGAGGUGAAACGAAUUUUGCCUGGGGAUGAGCUCGCGUCUGAUUAGCUUGUUGGUGGGGUAAAAGCCUACCAAGGCUUCGAUCAGUAGCUGGUCUGAGAGGACGAUCAGCCACACUGGGACUGAGAUACGGCCCAGACUCCUACGGGAGGCAGCAGUGGGGAAUUUUCCGCAAUGGGCGCAAGCCUGACGGAGCAACGCCGCGUGAGGGAUGAAGGCCUUUGGGCUGUAAACCUCUUUUCUCAAGGAAGAAGAUCUGACGGUACUUGAGGAAUAAGCCACGGCUAAUUCCGUGCCAGCAGCCGCGGUAAUACGGGAGUGGCAAGCGUUAUCCGGAAUUAUUGGGCGUAAAGCGUCCGCAGGCGGCCGUUUAAGUCUGUUGAUAAAUCGUGGAGCUCACCUCCAUCACGGCAGUGAAAACUGUUCGGCUUGAGUAUGGUGGGGGCAGAGGGAUUUUC
rnacentral:rRNA from 1 species